UACGUAGGGGGCUAGCGUUGUCCGGAAUCAUUGGGCGUAAAGAGCGCGUAGGCGGCCAGAUAAGUCCGGUGUGAAAGUCAAAGGCUCAACCUUUGAAUGCCGCUGGAAACUGUCUGGCUAGAGUCCGGGAGGGGCGAGUGGAAUUCCGUGGUGUAGCGGUGAAAUGCGCAGAUAUCAGGAGGAACACCGAUUGCGAAGGCAGCUCGCUGGGACGUUACUGACGCUGAGACGCGAAAGCGUGGGGAGCAAACAGG
rnacentral:rRNA from 1 species